UUAAGCGACUAAGCGUACACGGUGGAUGCCCUGGCAGUCAGAGGCGAUGAAGGACGUGCUAAUCUGCGAAAAGCGUCGGUAAGGUGAUAUGAACCGUUAUAACCGGCGAUGUCCGAAUGGGGAAACCCAGUGCAAUUCGUUGCACUAUCGUUAACUGAAUACAUAGGUUAACGAGGCGAACCGGGGGAACUGAAACAUCUAAGUACCCCGAGGAAAAGAAAUCAACCGAGAUUCCCCCAGUAGCGGCGAGCGAACGGGGAGCAGCCCAGAGUCUGAAUCAGCUUGUGUGUUAGUGGAACGGUCUGGAAAGUCCGACGGUACAGGGUGAUAGUCCCGUACACCAAAAUGCACAGGUUGUGAACUCGAAGAGUAGGGCGGGACACGUGGUAUCCUGUCUGAAUAUGGGGGGACCAUCCUCCAAGGCUAAAUACUCCUGACUGACCGAUAGUGAACCAGUACCGUGAGGGAAAGGCGAAAAGAACCCCGGCGAGGGGAGUGAAAAAGAACCUGAAACCGUGUACGUACAAGCAGUGGGAGCACCUUCGGGUGUGACUGCGUACCUUUUGUAUAAUGGGUCAGCGACUUAUAUUCUGUAGCAAGGUUAACCGUAUAGGGGAGCCGCAGGGAAACCGAGUCUUAACUGGGCGUUAAGUUGCAGGGUAUAGACCCGAAACCCGGUGAUCUAGCCAUGGGCAGGUUGAAGGUUGGGUAACACUAACUGGAGGACCGAACCGACUAAUGUUGAAAAAUUAGCGGAUGACUUGUGGCUGGGGGUGAAAGGCCAAUCAAACCGGGAGAUAGCUGGUUCUCCCCGAAAGCUAUUUAGGUAGCGCCUCGUGAAUUCAUCUUCGGGGGUAGAGCACUGUUUCGGCUAGGGGGUCAUCCCGACUUACCAACCCGAUGCAAACUACGAAUACCGAAGAAUGUUAUCACGGGAGACACACGGCGGGUGCUAACGUCCGUCGUGAAGAGGGAAACAACCCAGACCGCCAGCUAAGGUCCCAAAGUCAUGGUUAAGUGGGAAACGAUGUGGGAAGGCACAGACAGCCAGGAUGUUGGCUUAGAAGCAGCCAUCAUUUAAAGAAAGCGUAAUAGCUCACUGGUCGAGUCGGCCUGCGCGGAAGAUGUAACGGGGCUAAACCAUGCACCGAAGCUGCGGCAGCGACACUAUGUGUUGUUGGGUAGGGGAGCGUUCUGUAAGCCUGCGAAGGUGUGCUGUGAGGCAUGCUGGAGGUAUCAGAAGUGCGAAUGCUGACAUAAGUAACGAUAAAGCGGGUGAAAAGCCCGCUCGCCGGAAGACCAAGGGUUCCUGUCCAACGUUAAUCGGGGCAGGGUGAGUCGACCCCUAAGGCGAGGCCGAAAGGCGUAGUCGAUGGGAAACAGGUUAAUAUUCCUGUACUUGGUGUUACUGCGAAGGGGGGACGGAGAAGGCUAUGUUAGCCGGGCGACGGUUGUCCCGGUUUAAGCAUGUAGGCUGGUUGUCCAGGCAAAUCCGGAUAAUCAAGGCUGAGGUGUGAUGACGAGGCACUACGGUGCUGAAGUAACAAAUGCCCUGCUUCCAGGAAAAGCCUCUAAGCAUCAGGUAACAUUAAAUCGUACCCCAAACCGACACAGGUGGUCAGGUAGAGAAUACCAAGGCGCUUGAGAGAACUCGGGUGAAGGAACUAGGCAAAAUGGUGCCGUAACUUCGGGAGAAGGCACGCUGGUGUGUAGGUGAAGUCCCUGCGGAUGGAGCUGAGACCAGUCGAAGAUACCAGCUGGCUGCAACUGUUUAUUAAAAACACAGCACUGUGCAAACACGAAAGUGGACGUAUACGGUGUGACGCCUGCCCGGUGCCGGAAGGUUAAUUGAUGGGGUUAUCCGUAAGGAGAAGCUCUUGAUCGAAGCCCCGGUAAACGGCGGCCGUAACUAUAACGGUCCUAAGGUAGCGAAAUUCCUUGUCGGGUAAGUUCCGACCUGCACGAAUGGCGUAAUGAUGGCCAGGCUGUCUCCACCCGAGACUCAGUGAAAUUGAACUCGCUGUGAAGAUGCAGUGUACCCGCGGCAAGACGGAAAGACCCCGUGAACCUUUACUAUAGCUUGACACUGAACAUUGAGCCUUGAUGUGUAGGAUAGGUGGGAGGCUUUGAAGCGUGGACGCCAGUCUGCGUGGAGCCAACCUUGAAAUACCACCCUUUAAUGUUUGAUGUUCUAACGUUGGCCCCUUACCGGGGUUGCGGACAGUGUCUGGUGGGUAGUUUGACUGGGGCGGUCUCCUCCCAAAGCGUAACGGAGGAGCACGAAGGUUAGCUAAUCCUGGUCGGACAUCAGGAGGUUAGUGCAAUGGCAUAAGCUAGCUUGACUGCGAGCGUGACGGCGCGAGCAGGUGCGAAAGCAGGUCAUAGUGAUCCGGUGGUUCUGAAUGGAAGGGCCAUCGCUCAACGGAUAAAAGGUACUCCGGGGAUAACAGGCUGAUACCGCCCAAGAGUUCAUAUCGACGGCGGUGUUUGGCACCUCGAUGUCGGCUCAUCACAUCCUGGGGCUGAAGUAGGUCCCAAGGGUAUGGCUGUUCGCCAUUUAAAGUGGUACGCGAGCUGGGUUUAGAACGUCGUGAGACAGUUCGGUCCCUAUCUGCCGUGGGCGCUGGAGAAUUGAGGGGGGCUGCUCCUAGUACGAGAGGACCGGAGUGGACGCAUCACUGGUGUUCGGGUUGUCAUGCCAAUGGCACUGCCCGGUAGCUAAAUGCGGAAGAGAUAAGUGCUGAAAGCAUCUAAGCACGAAACUUGCCCCGAGAUGAGUUCUCCCUGAGACUUUAAGUCUCCUGAAGGAACGUUGAAGACGACGACGUUGAUAGGCCGGGUGUGUAAGCGCAGCGAUGCGUUGAGCUAACCGGUACUAAUGAACCGUGAGGCUUAACCUU
rnacentral:rRNA from 2 species